rnacentral:rRNA from 1 species
CCUUUAGUGCUGCAGCAAACGCAUUAAGCACUCCGCCUGGGGAGUACGGUCGCAAGACUGAAACUCAAAGGAAUUGACGGGGGCCCGCACAAGCGGUGGAGCAUGUGGUUUAAUUCGAAGCAACGCGAAGAACCUUACCAGGUCUUGACAUCCUCUGACAACCCUAGAGAUAGGGCUUCCCCUUCGGGGGCAGAGUGACAGGUGGUGCAUGGUUGUCGUCAGCUCGUGUCGUGAGAUGUUGGGUUAAGUCCCGCAACGAGCGCAACCCUUGAUCUUAGUUGCCAGCAUUCAGUUGGGCACUCUAAGGCGACCGCCGGUGACAAACCGGAGGAAGGUGGGGAUGACGUCAAAUCAUCAUGCCCCUUAUGACCUGGGCUACACACGUGCUACAAUGGGCAGAACAAAGGGCAGCGAAGCCGCGAGGCUAAGCCAAUCCCACAAAUCUGUUCUCAGUUCGGAUCGCAGUCUGCAACUCGACUGCGUGAAGCUGGAAUCGCUAGUAAUCGCGGAUCAGCAUGCCGCGGUGAAUACGUUUCCCGGGCCUUGUACACACCGCCCGUCACACCACGAGAGUUUGUAACACCCGAAGUCGGUGAGGUAACCUUUUUGGAGCCAGCCGCCGAAGGUGGGACAGGAUGAUUGGGGGUGAAAGUCGUAAACAAGGUAAACCA